GCGCUCGUAGCUCAGCAGGAUAGAGCAUCCCCCUCCUAAGGGGAAGGCCGGAGGUUCGACUCCUCUCGCGCGCACCA
rnacentral:tRNA from 1 species